GACGAACCGUGCGAACGUUGUUCGGAAUCACUGGGCUUAAAGGGCGCGUAGGCGGACUGCCAAGUCCGGGGUGAAAUCCUCCGGCUUAACCGGAGAAUUGCCUGGAUACUGGCGGUCGUUGAGGGAGGUAGGGCACGCGGAACUUCCGGUGGAGCGGUGAAAUGCGUUGAUAUCGGAAGGAACGCCGGUGGCGAAAGCCGGCGUGCUGGCCCUCUCGUGACGAC
rnacentral:rRNA from 1 species